rnacentral:rRNA from 1 species
CCUAAGGUAGCGAAAUUCCUUGUCGGGUAAGUUCCGACCUGCACGAAUGGCGUAAUGAUGGCCAGGCUGUCUCCACCCGAGACUCAGUGAAAUUGAACUCGCUGUGAAGAUGCAGUGUACCCGCGGCAAGACGGAAAGACCCCGUGAACCUUUACUAUAGCUUGACACUGAACAUUGAGCCUUGAUGUGUAGGAUAGGUGGGAGGCUUUGAAGCGUGGACGCCAGUCUGCGUGGAGCCAACCUUGAAAUACCACCCUUUAAUGUUUGAUGUUCUAACGUAGGCCCGUGAUCCGGGCUGCGGACAGUGUCUGGUGGGUAGUUUGACUGGGGCGGUCUCCUCCUAAAGAGUAACGGAGGAGCACGAAGGUUAGCUAAUCCUGGUCGGACAUCAGGAGGUUAGUGCAAUGGCAUAAGCUAGCUUGACUGCGAGAGUGACGGCUCGAGCAGGUGCGAAAGCAGGUCAUAGUGAUCCGGUGGUUCUGAAUGGAAGGGCCAUCGCUCAACGGAUAAAAGGUACUCCGGGGAUAACAGGCUGAUACCGCCCAAGAGUUCAUAUCGACGGCGGUGUUUGGCACCUCGAUGUCGGCUCAUCACAUCCUGGGGCUGAAGUAGGUCCCAAGGGUAUGGCUGUUCGCCAUUUAAAGUGGUACGCGAGCUGGGUUUAGAACGUCGUGAGACAGUUCGGUCCCUAUCUGCCGUGGGCGCUGGAGAAUUGAGGGGGGCUGCUCCUAGUACGAGAGGACCGGAGUGGACGCAUCACUGGUGUUCGGGUUGUCAUGCCAAUGGCAUUGCCCGGUAGCUAAAUGCGGAAGAGAUAAGUGCUGAAAGCAUCUAAGCACGAAACUUGCCCCGAGAUGAGUUCUCCCUGAGACUUUAAGUCUCCUGAAGGAACGUUGAAGACGACGACGUUGAUAGG